GCCCCCGUAGCUCAAUUGGAUAGAGCGCAUCGGUUCUAACGAUAGGGUUGCGCGUUCGAGUCGCGCCGGGGGCA
rnacentral:tRNA from 2 species